rnacentral:rRNA from 1 species
UACGUAGGUGGCUAGCGUUGUCCGGAUUUACUGGGCGUAAAGAGCGCGCAGGCGGUCGUUCAAGUCGCGUGUGAAAGCCCCCGGCUCAACUGGGGAGGGUCACGCGAUACUGAUCGACUGGAAGGCAGGAGAGGGUAGUGGAAUUCCCGGUGUAGUGGUGAAAUGCGUAGAUAUCGGGAGGAACACCAGUGGCGAAGGCGACUACCUGGCCUGUUCUUGACGCUGAGGCGCGAAAGCUAGGGGAGCAAACGGG